rnacentral:misc_RNA from 1 species
GACAAAAUAGGGUGUCAAAAGAAUCAAGAGCAGCAUCAAGAUCGUUGUCAAGAAACAAAUCUGGAGUCCCUUGGAUGUUCUCGUUCUUUAAGGCACAUUCAUAUUUGUCCUUAACAAGAUCUUCAUAUCUUGCCUUGACUUCACUGGGUUUUCUAGACAAGAACUGCCCUAGCAAUUCUAACACUGUAUCAGACAGGCCAAUUUGUUGGAUAGUUGAACACAGCAUAACAUCUUCGUACUCCGCAAACUUCUUUUCUUGUUCGCCUUCAAGUAAUUCUUCCUCGCUAUCACUGCAAAUUAGAGCUUCUCCACUAUUCUUGUCAUAAUAAAUUCUUCUACAACCAACCACUGAUUGAUUCACGGGCAUCUGCUGAUUUCUAUCCAAAAAUACCCAUGUAGUAUAUUGAGGCAGUCUUUCCACUUGAGGAAGUAUAAUGGGACAUACAGCACUUUUGAUGGCA